rnacentral:rRNA from 1 species
UACGUAGGGUGCAAGCGUUAUCCGGAUUUAUUGGGCGUAAAGAGCGCGUAGGCGGGAUAGCAAGUCAGAUGUGAAAUCCUAUGGCUUAACCAUAGAACUGCAUUUGGAAACUGUUAUUCUAGAGUAUGGGAGAGGUAGGUGGAAUUCUUGGUGUAGGGGUAAAAUCCGUAGAGAUCAAGAGGAAUACUCAUUGCGAAGGCGACCUGCUAGAACAUAACUGACGCUGAUGCGCGAAAGCGUGGGGAGCAAACAGG